GUGGGAAUUAGGGAGUUAUCUACCAAGUGGCUGCAAGAGAAGUUCUGAAAUUCCUAAGUGUCGAAGUGGCCGAAUUCCUAAGUGUCAAAGUGCCGAGGUCCCGAAAUUACCGAAUUUCCGAAGUGCCGAAUUGCCGAAGUCCCGAAUUUCGGAAUGCUGAACCGAAUCGAAACAUUUUCCCAUUCACAUGCCUAGUUUGCAUUUCACAAACCCAGAACUGCAGAAAGGGCGAACAUCCCCAAAACGAGGGCAUAUCUGUGUCCCCUUGUCUCCUAGUCCCUUAGUGUCCCCAUGUCACUAGGACACUUGGGGACAUUGAGAGACAUUGGGACACUGGGAGACAUGGGGACACUGAGAUACUAGGGAACACUGGGAGACAUGGGGACAGUUUCCCCAAGUUUCUCACCAUCCCCAUCUCUCACAGUUUCCCCUAGUGUCUGUUUCCCCGGGUCUCUCAGUGCCCCCUAGUGUCUCAGUGUUCCCAAGUGUCCCUAUGUCUCCCAUUGUCCCAUAGUGCCUCAAUGUCCCCAUGUCUCACAGUGUCCCUUAGUGUCUCCGAGUGUCCCCUAGUGUCU